rnacentral:tRNA from 1 species
UCCCUGGUGGCUCAGAGGUUAAAAGCAUUUGCCUGCAAUGCAGGAGACCCGGGUUCGAUACCUGGGUGGGGAA